rnacentral:sRNA from 1 species
AAUGAACUAAACAUUGCCUUGCUAUAUUCACCAAAAGGACUUAAUUCUUGUUUUUUUCCCAGUUUUAUAUAGAGGAAACACUAUGAUAGGAUUUCCUAAAGUAUUUGUGGACAGUUAAAUGCUAAUUAUAUACAUCUGUAGUUAUUCUCCAUUUUCUUGAAAUUUGAGAGGUUAAUACCAAGUAUUCAUUUCAUGAUGUAAAGAAACUGAACAGUGAAGUGGCUUGAUUGCUUAAACUAUUGACUUGGUAAGUCUACUGUAUAUAACAUCUAAUAUAUAUAUUAUA